GUGAAUCAUCGAAUCUUUGAACGCAAAUUGCACUCUCCUCGGAGAGUAUGCCUGUUUGAGGGUCAGCCUAUAAAAAAUCGACAUCGUUGCUGUUUCGCGGUGGCGUUCGUCGGAAAUUGGGUCAUAUUAAAUCUUUUGGUUUUACGCGACUUAAAAUUUUCUUUUUGGUUCCAUGACCGUUUCUAAGAUUUAUUUCUUUACUCGUUAAUGGUAUCGCUUUUUAUUAGACGUGACUAUCAUAUCGGAUCG
rnacentral:misc_RNA from 1 species